UUCCACCCAAGCCAAAUCCUGACAGCAGAUUUGUAGAUUCUUCGAAGAUUCCUGUUGAAGGGAAAAUUAACAAUCUCCUCCCCAGGUGACCUGAAUGUGUGUUCUUCUAAUUACUUACCCUCAGACAACUCCGAAUUGUCAACAGCACGGUUGACCAAGUUUAAAGCUGAUGUAGCUAGGUUCAUUAACCGCUCGUCCCUGCCCUUGUCAGCUAGCUCAUCAAUAUAAUUGGAGACAACUUGGUUGGAUGCAAGUAGCCUAAGCAACACACCUCCGAGGCCUCGUGUGCCUGCAACACCUAACACAUCGGUUAUAAGUGUUUCAAAAUUAGGUUCCCUUAUCUUUUUCAUGUCCAGCGAUGAACAAAUAAGAUUACUAUAAGUAAAGAAUUCAUAUGGAGGCUCACGUUCAAUGUCUUCUUUUGCCCUUUGCUGAAUUGCCGUUAGUUCAUCUGACAGAGUAUGUCCCUGCGAACCUCGACAGACAAACCUUCCUUCUGGUGACAUUCCUUCAUUGUGGUCAGCCCUGGAAAGCACAUUGCUGCUGCUGCCUCCUUGCCACCCACUGCCCCUUAACUGAACUCUGGCCUUCAUCAGGUUCAUACUACGUGGGGCUCGCACUGGCAGCAACAAAUUGGGAAUGCACGCACAAAUUAGAAAAAUGUUUAAGGUUUUUAGUUUUUCGGACAGUUCAAAGAUUUAUUUAUGCUCAUACCAACCUGGGAUCGGUACAUUCUCCAGAGCACCUGAUAUACGAAUGCUACCGGGGGGUUCGUCUGAAUUGGUUCACCUGCAAUUCGAGCAAGUCGGAGUUCAGUCCACACAUUUUUUGUAUGCUUAGUUCAUUCUUGUACUAAAAAUCAAACCUCUGUUUUUAGCCCGUUGUAGUCUUCUAGCAGCUCGUUCGUGUGGGUGUAUGAAGUCGCCAUCACUGUCGCUACCAGAUGAAUCACUUUCUUCAUCCAUUUUCUCUUUUUCUUUGCGUCUAGCCUGCUCACCAGAGUAUUCAUUGUCUGUAUUUUUUGCAAUAUCUUCUAGUACCUCCUGCAAACCCUCCCUUUGCGCUGCAAUAGCAUACAAGCAAUAAUUUUCAAAAGCUUUCUUGUUGUACUUUAUUAACAUUAAUGUAUUCAAUCCAAAUGGGCUCUUCUUUUUUGUUAGCACAAACUAUUUCAUAAUUUAUUUAGCACAAUUUUUUUCCCUAUAUGAUUGACUCCUGUAUUCCCCUCAUUUGUUUUUUCAGAGAUAACUCGCUCAUAGAUGCUUACAUGGAUUAACCAAUAAGCCGCCCGCCUCUCCAACGAUUGGAUUCCACACCUCAUCUAUGCCAUCCAGGUAGUCCUCCGGUUUUGUAUGCCCAGCCCAGAAGCAUCAUGUCAGCAAAACAACUUAUAUAUAUUGGACACGCGAAAGAACAAAUGAUACUUCAUUCAUACCCUGAAUUGUGUAGGGUAUUCUCUCAGCAAGUAGAUCAGCUUCUUGAUCUUAUCUUCAGUGUACUCGCUGACUCUAGGGAGUUUAUUUGGUUCCACAUUGUCUGCCCCAAAAUCCAGCCAAUCGAACACCCAAGGAUGUGCGAUGUCCAUGUAAUCAUUGGCAAGUUAGUGACAACAAUUGAGGAAACUAAAAUGUUAUAAUAUAUGUUGUAUCAUUUUUUACUUACAAUGAUAGCCAAAUGGCACCUUGGUACUCUCAAUGUUCGUACCCCAGCUGCAAGAUCUUCAGCG
rnacentral:lncRNA from 1 species